rnacentral:rRNA from 1 species
AUACGGAGGGUGCAAGCGUUAAUCGGAAUUACUGGGCGUAAAGCGUACGUAGGCGGUCCGUUAAGUUAGAUGUGAAAGCCCCGGGCUUAACCUGGGAACUGCAUUUAAAACUGGCGAACUAGAGUUGAGUAGAGGGGAGUGGAAUUUCAGGUGUAGCGGUGAAAUGCGUAGAGAACUGAAGGAACACCAGUGGCGAAGGCGACUCCCUGGACUCGAACUGACGCUGAGGUACGAAAGCGUGGGUAGCAAACGGGAUUAGAAACCCUAGUAGUCC